CUGCAUUUCUCCAGAGUCCCGUUGUCUCUCAAAGGUUUUUAGUGUAGAGGGAUCUCCCUCGGGGCCAGCGCACAAUCGUUAGGACAGAACCUCUGUUCUCUCUCUCGCUGAAAUCAGUAGCAAAAAGACCGCUUGUCUCAGUUACUGCAGGUCAGUCUGGGAGACACAAGUGUGAUGUGGUGAGGGCUCUGUAGCUGAGAAGAGUUUGCCUGAAUACACAGGUGCCUAAUUCCCCUUUGGUUCCUCGGGACCGAGGCAAAUGUCUGUGACAGUCUGAGCCUUGGGAGCCGUUCUGCAUCCCUUGAAGCAUGUAACCAGCUGGUGGGUAAGUAAUCCUGGUGAAUAAGUGGGACUAGGGGAGGAUCAGAACAGUGGAGGCUCUGUUGAUUUUGUGUAAAAAGGUGUCUUGGUGAUUGAGUCAAUUCAGUAAAAAGCUAUUAUUCUUAGUUGUGUUUUGGGAUCACUAUAAUGAAAUCUUUUCUGUGAGUGCAAGAGAGUGACUUUUCUUCAAAUUUUGUGUUACUCUCACAGAGGCACUAGAAACUAGGAAAAGAACCUGCUAUUUAAGAGGGGUAUUUCAAAGCUGAUGAUGUCUCCUAGCAGAAUGCCCAUGUUUGGGGUUAUUUUAUGCCUGAGUGUAUCAGCUGACAAAAGUUUCCCCAAAGUAAGAUAUAAAAAACUCAGGUUAAGCACAAGGUCAGGAGGAGGCAUGAGACACACUGAGCCUGCGUCAGAAAAUUCCCGUGCUUGUUUCUUCCCUUGGGUCUGACCCCAUUGCCCCUGCCAGGCAGAAGCCCUCCUGCUCAGAACAGGUUGUGCUCCUGACCAGCAUGACAGACAGCUGGGCAUGGAGACUCUAGAAAAAAUAGGUGAGACAAAUUAUGGGUAGCAUAAUCCCAGUGUGUCUUAUAAAGAUGCUCUUGGAAAGAGAUUUCCCACUCUCAGGUGAAAUUCAGCAGUGAGUCUCUAGCUGGAGUGUUAUGGCUUUUGAAAAAUCUCCACAUAGCCACGUGCACGCACACAGCUGGAUACACAAAGCACUGGUGCAAAGGAACUUUGUGCAGUUUUUGUGAUCCACAGUUUUCAGUUCUGAUAAGAAAGUGCGAAUGAGAAUGUGUGAAACAGGAGUGGUGUUUGUUCCCUGGGUUUUCUAUGUUAGAGCUAAGAGAAAUAGAAAAAGCCAACAGAAGCUUGGAAACUGUAAACCUAGGGACUUUCGUUUGGCCACGUAAAUCCUUCUCUAAGCAUCUCCUAAAAAGCAAAGCAGUGAAGUCCCAGAGUCAUCAAUAAUACCCUAUAUUAUAGAACUUCUGGAAUGUGACAUUUGUAUUAAGGAGCCUUCAGAUUUUUUUUUCAAGUGACUGAAGUGACAUAGUGGCACCCUUGCUAUUGACUUUACAGAGGACUCAUGUUGCCAAAUUGCAGGGAUGCUUUCAGAGAUCUUACCUGCAGUUCCCAGUCCUUAGCACUCACUCCUGGAUGUUUGAAAUACAGGUCUGUCAGUUGGUCUAGCUGUUUCUUUCUGAAGGCAGAGCGCAUCCUCGUGAAGCAAAGUAGGCACCUCCAGGGACUUGUUUCCAUAACAACCUCUCAGACUGGUGACUGUGACUACAAGCAAAAGCACUCGUUGAAUAUUUUCAGGUUUCAGAUAUUGGCACCUUAUCUUUACAGCUGUUUUCUUUGCUUACUGAAGAUGAUUUCAUCACCUUGUGUCAUGUACAACUGUCCUGUCCAACCUGAGACAGACAGUUACCAGCAUUUGAAAGCAGAGAAUGCAAACCAGGAGGUGGGAAGGGAUUUUAUUUGUAUAUCCUUGCACACAAAGAGGUGGGGAGUGUGCAAAGCACAAUCGGAACACUCACAAUCAGGGAGCUGAAGGGCUGCUGACCUGUGAAUGUGGAAUUAUCUGGGAGCCCGGUAACAAAGAGUGCAAGCUAAAGCAUCACAUUAAAAACCAGAAACUCUCUCAUUAGGAAAUAGUUUUGCUGUGGAAGAGACAAUUGCUCCUUCCUGAACUCUUGGCUGUUCUGUGACAAUCAGUUCCUCAGAUAAUUUUCCCACAAGAAGUUUUGCACCAAAGCAGGACAGGGCAGAAAUCAUCUUGUUGGAUGUGGGGAAGGAAGGAAAGGAAUUUCACUGAGGACACCUUUUUUCAUCCACAACUCAUCAACCACAUAAAAAGAUGGUAAGCGUGAAAGUCAUGAAGAGCUGUUUUGCAAUAUUUCAAAGUCAACGUCACUGGUGGAUGCCUGCACUUACCUCCAAGAUGAAAUUGCUGUUCUGCUCCUGUUUGGAAAAUGUUGCAAUGUGGGAUUUCUGAGCAAUUUUCUGUUUUGGCCCUGUUCCUUUUGAUCCAACUUUCAUGGAUAAACAUUCACUGCUACAGCAGCUGUGGGGGAGAAGGUGACUGGACUUGGUGUUCUUUCCUAAGCCCCAGCAUACAGAGAUCCCUAUGGAGGUAAAGAAGAAUGAAUAUAAAGGAAAUUCAGGGCACCAAGAGACAGGGUAAGGACUGAAGUGUCUCCCAUACUGUGAUGGAAAGAACAGCAUCAACCCUAAAAGCAAAGGAACAAACGGCUCCAGUGUCUGCUGCUAUAGCAGAAGUAGGUCCUGUUUACAUCAGGGAAAGAUCUGCGGAUUACAGCAGGAGUUAACCACAGCUUUCCCAAAAGCUCUCAUCUGACUUGAGUCCAAGUUGGAUUCUGGAUGUUGCAAGGCUGUCAUGUCAGGAUGCUGCAGAAAAGGUUGUUGCAUCUUCUUGCUGUAGAGUUGGUGAAGUUUCCCUGUGUGCAGAGAAUACAUUUAUGGACAGGAAACUGGUUUCCUUGCUUUGCGGUUUUCUUGUUGCUGUUGUUUUUGAAGGGGUUAACGCUCUUAGUUCCAGAAAACUGAAACGAGAUGUGAACUGGGGUUGGAAGGAGGAAGCAGGGGGAAUCCCAUACAAGAUUCGAAUGUGUCUUAUUUCUGGGAAAACUAAAUAAAGCAGGAUUCAAUUGCCAGUGGCUAAAUAGCAGCAGUUUAUGAGCUGUUCAUCAAUAGCCUCAGACAAGCACUAAGUCCUGUGAGAAGCUGGAAAUUGACACAGGGCACCUCCAAAAGGCUCCAUUGUCAAAACUUACUUUAAACUUUUUUUCAAGUGAAGAAUACAGUCCUGGCAAAUGUGUAAGGUCAGCCCUUAGAAGAGCAAAUAGCUUUCUCUAAUGAAUCAAAAAAGUGGCCAAAGUCUGUCCAUUUGUCUGCCUGUCUUUUGGCCUUGGAUUACUGUGCUAUUUAAAACUGUGUUUUCGUAACUCAGAUAAAUAGUAGGUGUUUCACAUAGCUCUGCAAGUAGUAAUCAUCCUGUUUGUGCAUAAUAUCUGAUAUCUAAGGGAUGGGCCAAAACUAGAGGUAUUUCUCAUUUACCUAUGAAGUGUCUUGCUUUAGCAUACGUACAGUCAAUUCUUGUUGUGAACAUGUGAGUCCAUUGCCUGCUCUAUAGGAGGCAGGGACUUAGUUUCAGUGGCUGUAGAGUUUCACUGAAAUAGCGCUGUUUGUAGUCUUUCAUGUGAUUUAGAAGGCACAAUAGCCAGACAGUUCUGAAAAUGUAAUAUAAUUGUAUGCAGCGUUCCCAGAAAAAGCCCAGAAGUCUUCUCCCAUUGCAGCAUUGUGAUAAAAACCUCUGCUGCUUUUCAAGCUCCACAAGUCCAUGCUGUGCUCUGCUGAAGCUGAUAAAAAACCCAAUAAGCACUGAAAAGUGAAGGGCAGAGAGGGAUGCUCUGGCCUGGAAUCCCCUCUCUUUGCAGCAGCAAAGGCAGUCAUGCAGCUGAAUGUCCAUAACCAAAGGUGGAUCCACCCCGUGUGUGUUGCCAACUCUCUGCAGAGAUGAGUGGGUAGAAAGAAUUGAUUCUGGAAGAGGAGAAACUGAAAGGAAGAGCAGUGUAAAGGAUGCCCUGAGCAUGAUGACUAGGAUUUUCAGAAGGUACUCUGAUGGGUACUGGGCAUCCAGCCUUCCUAAGACUUUUUAUCAGUAACACCCUCUACGUUUCAUGAGUGACUUUUAGCCAGUCUGGCAUUCUUCACAGUCAGUGUGUGAGGGAAAAGAGGUAGAAGGCAGCUCACUCUUAAUUUGACAGCUAUCGGCACCUGUAACAGGCUAGGACUGUGAUACCUCCUCGUGGCUGCUGGCUGAGGGUCUGAUCCUCUGCUGAGCUGUGACUUUCUGAUGACCUGUAACUCGAACAGACUUAUAGGACUGGGCACAGAGGAAGCCUGAGGUGCCAGAUCCAAAGAUGCUUUUGGAGCAGAUCUGCUCAGUAGUCCUGAGCAUGGAUGUGAACCCACAGUUCUUAGGAAGCAACAUUCAUUCCACAUUCAUAUUGUGUGGGUGCAAACAAUACAGAGAUCUACUCUAUGUCUUAGUACAGGCCAGCUUGCCAUGUGGGACUUCUCUGAGUCACUGUGUAUCCUGAUCUGCGUAGCAAAGCCGUGUGGCUGACCAUGGGUAGCCAGAGCUGCCAUGGACCCUUCUUGCAAGGGCUGUUGUCUUCAGAGUCAACUAAGUGCAGGCUGCCUUUAGAGAGGUGUGAAUAUGCUGCAGAAGUCUACGGGUACCCUUCAGAUACAUGGCAUGCAGGUCAGACUUUAGACCAUACUGUGUGCCAGCACAAACAGCAGAGAUGUUAGUUACAGAAUCACUUUGAUUUUGCUGUGAAACCUUGUUCUGGUGUGUUAUUUCAAGUAAGGCAGUUAGGACUUGCAGGCCAGAUCAUGUGGUGAGAUAGUAAUUCCUACUCCCUUAUUGGAGAUAGGGUGAUUUAUACAAGUCUGGUCCAACAUUUCUGAGAAAUUGUGGAUGGCAGGUAUUUUUUUGUUUGUUUGUUGCACUGAAAACUUGAAGCCUUUCAAAUAAAGUAUGUGAGGUAAAUAGAAUUUUUAGACGGAGCGUGUCCUUCAGUCUGUUUGCUGGAUUCAGACUUCGAGAAUACAAGUUCUUUGUACAGAGUCCCUCGCGCAAUGCGAGAAGAGGUUUUUGGGCUUGAAAGUUGACCAAGGAAGUGGGACUCAGUUGAGCUUUGAACAGCAAUCAUUGUUCUCAUUGGUGAUGCCAUUAUAUGUGCUUGACUGAAAUCCAACAUUGCACAGGUCAUAACCUGAUAAAACCAUGUAACUGAUAUUUGUGAUUGUUCCUAUCAGUGUGAUUGACUGUUAAAUAGGCUAGACAUACGAAUAAAAUCAAUAUUUUUUAAA